rnacentral:lncRNA from 1 species
CAGCAACAUUUAAAAUAAACAGACACAAUGAGAACAAUGUCAACAGAACCCAGCGUUUUCUAGGUGUGUGUCAGGGACUGACCAGGCGCACUAAGCGGAAAGCAAGGACCACGUUUUCAGGACGAGGCUCUGUGCUGCUUCCAGAUUUGGAGCGCAGCUGGAAGAUGCCAUCUGCACCACAGGCAGUCCUGCAUGGGGGACAUUCGGCCGGCUGGUAUGCACAACAGGACGGCAGAUGUGGUUUCCGGGAAACCUGGGCCCAGAAUGCCCCCCGGCACGUCUCCUGGCAGCAGCGCACUUCCAGCGCCACCCUCAGAGCCGGGCGGCGACACCAGUCCGGCGGCCUCCGAGUCUGGGCCGGAGUUGGCCCACGGCACAAGUGGUCGCUGACCGGAGCCCACACCACGACUGUCCUCACCUGGGAUGCUUCUGAGCGUGGACAGGGCGUCAUGAAUGUGCGGGACUCGUGCUGAAAGGCUUGUCAAGGGGCAGGGCUGAUUUUACUUAUGAUUUGAUCAGGCGGCUGAGUGUGGGAGAUGCACCAGGCCGGGACGCUGCUGCUCUAGUUGAGCAGGGAAGGGGGAAAGGUUUAUAAAAAAUAAGGGGGCAGGGCCGGGGAUGUAGCUCAGUGGCCUAAGUGCCUGCCUGGCAAGUGCAAGGUCCUGAGUUCGAUUCCUGGUACCAAAAAAUAAAAUAAAAUAAAAUAAGGGGG